rnacentral:rRNA from 1 species
GACGAACGCUGGCGGCGUGCUUAACACAUGCAAGUCGAACGGUAAGGCCCUUCGGGGUACACGAGUGGCGAACGGGUGAGUAACACGUGGGUGAUCUGCCCUGCACUUCGGGAUAAGCCUGGGAAACUGGGUCUAAUACCGGAUAGGACCACUGCCUGCAUGGGCGGUGGUGGAAAGCUUUUGCGGUGUGGGAUGGGCCCGCGGCCUAUCAGCUUGUUGGUGGGGUGAUGGCCUACCAAGGCGACGACGGGUAGCCGGCCUGAGAGGGUGACCGGCCACACUGGGACUGAGAUACGGCCCAGACUCCUACGGGAGGCAGCAGUGGGGAGUAUUGCACAAUGGGCGCAAGCCUGAUGCAGCGACGCCGCGUGAGGGAUGACGGCCUUCGGGUUGUAAACCUCUUUCAGCACCGACGAAGCGCAAGUGACGGUAGGUGCAGAAGAAGGACCGGCCAACUACGUGCCAGCCGCCGCGGUAA